rnacentral:rRNA from 3 species
AGCGUACACGGUGGAUGCCCUGGCAGUCAGAGGCGAUGAAGGACGUGCUAAUCUGCGAUAAGCGUCGGUAAGGUGAUAUGAACCGUUAUAACCGGCGAUUUCCGAAUGGGGAAACCCAGUGUGAUUCGUCACACUAUCAUUAACUGAAUCCAUAGGUUAAUGAGGCGAACCGGGGGAACUGAAACAUCUAAGUACCCCGAGGAAAAGAAAUCAACCGAGAUUCCCCCAGUAGCGGCGAGCGAACGGGGAGGAGCCCAGAGCCUGAAUCAGUGUGUGUGUUAGUGGAAGCGUCUGGAAAGGCGCGCGAUACAGGGUGACAGCCCCGUACACAAAAAUGCACAUGCUGUGAGCUCGAUGAGUAGGGCGGGACACGUGGUAUCCUGUCUGAAUAUGGGGGGACCAUCCUCCAAGGCUAAAUACUCCUGACUGACCGAUAGUGAACCAGUACCGUGAGGGAAAGGCGAAAAGAACCCCGGCGAGGGGAGUGAAAAAGAACCUGAAACCGUGUACGUACAAGCAGUGGGAGCACAGAGCAAUCUGUGUGACUGCGUACCUUUUGUAUAAUGGGUCAGCGACUUAUAUUCUGUAGCAAGGUUAACCGAAUAGGGGAGCCGAAGGGAAACCGAGUCUUAACCGGGCGUUAAGUUGCAGGGUAUAGACCCGAAACCCGGUGAUCUAGCCAUGGGCAGGUUGAAGGUUGGGUAACACUAACUGGAGGACCGAACCGACUAAUGUUGAAAAAUUAGCGGAUGACUUGUGGCUGGGGGUGAAAGGCCAAUCAAACCGGGAGAUAGCUGGUUCUCCCCGAAAGCUAUUUAGGUAGCGCCUCGUGAAUUCAUCUCCGGGGGUAGAGCACUGUUUCGGCAAGGGGGUCAUCCCGACUUACCAACCCGAUGCAAACUGCGAAUACCGGAGAAUGUUAUCACGGGAGACACACGGCGGGUGCUAACGUCCGUCGUGAAGAGGGAAACAACCCAGACCGCCAGCUAAGGUCCCAAAGUCAUGGUUAAGUGGGAAACGAUGUGGGAAGGCCCAGACAGCCAGGAUGUUGGCUUAGAAGCAGCCAUCAUUUAAAGAAAGCGUAAUAGCUCACUGGUCGAGUCGGCCUGCGCGGAAGAUGUAACGGGGCUAAACCAUGCACCGAAGCUGCGGCAGCGACACUGUGUGUUGUUGGGUAGGGGAGCGUUCUGUAAGCCUGUGAAGGUGUGCUGUGAGGCAUGCUGGAGGUAUCAGAAGUGCGAAUGCUGACAUAAGUAACGAUAAAGCGGGUGAAAAGCCCGCUCGCCGGAAGACCAAGGGUUCCUGUCCAACGUUAAUCGGGGCAGGGUGAGUCGACCCCUAAGGCGAGGCCGAAAGGCGUAGUCGAUGGGAAACAGGUUAAUAUUCCUGUACUUGGUGUUACUGCGAAGGGGGGACGGAGAAGGCUAUGUUGGCCGGGCGACGGUUGUCCCGGUUUAAGCGUGUAGGCUGGUUUUCCAGGCAAAUCCGGAAAAUCAAGGCUGAGGCGUGAUGACGAGGCACUACGGUGCUGAAGCAACAAAUGCCCUGCUUCCAGGAAAAGCCUCUAAGCAUCAGGUAACAUCAAAUCGUACCCCAAACCGACACAGGUGGUCAGGUAGAGAAUACCAAGGCGCUUGAGAGAACUCGGGUGAAGGAACUAGGCAAAAUGGUGCCGUAACUUCGGGAGAAGGCACGCUGAUAUGUAGGUGAAGUCCCUCGCGGAUGGAGCUGAAAUCAGUCGAAGAUACCAGCUGGCUGCAACUGUUUAUUAAAAACACAGCACUGUGCAAACACGAAAGUGGACGUAUACGGUGUGACGCCUGCCCGGUGCCGGAAGGUUAAUUGAUGGGGUCAGCGCAAGCGAAGCUCUUGAUCGAAGCCCCGGUAAACGGCGGCCGUAACUAUAACGGUCCUAAGGUAGCGAAAUUCCUUGUCGGGUAAGUUCCGACCUGCACGAAUGGCGUAAUGAUGGCCAGGCUGUCUCCACCCGAGACUCAGUGAAAUUGAACUCGCUGUGAAGAUGCAGUGUACCCGCGGCAAGACGGAAAGACCCCGUGAACCUUUACUAUAGCUUGACACUGAACAUUGAGCCUUGAUGUGUAGGAUAGGUGGGAGGCUUUGAAGUGUGGACGCCAGUCUGCAUGGAGCCGACCUUGAAAUACCACCCUUUAAUGUUUGAUGUUCUAACGUGGACCCGUGAUCCGGGUUGCGGACAGUGUCUGGUGGGUAGUUUGACUGGGGCGGUCUCCUCCUAAAGAGUAACGGAGGAGCACGAAGGUUGGCUAAUCCUGGUCGGACAUCAGGAGGUUAGUGCAAUGGCAUAAGCCAGCUUGACUGCGAGCGUGACGGCGCGAGCAGGUGCGAAAGCAGGUCAUAGUGAUCCGGUGGUUCUGAAUGGAAGGGCCAUCGCUCAACGGAUAAAAGGUACUCCGGGGAUAACAGGCUGAUACCGCCCAAGAGUUCAUAUCGACGGCGGUGUUUGGCACCUCGAUGUCGGCUCAUCACAUCCUGGGGCUGAAGUAGGUCCCAAGGGUAUGGCUGUUCGCCAUUUAAAGUGGUACGCGAGCUGGGUUUAGAACGUCGUGAGACAGUUCGGUCCCUAUCUGCCGUGGGCGCUGGAGAACUGAGGGGGGCUGCUCCUAGUACGAGAGGACCGGAGUGGACGCAUCACUGGUGUUCGGGUUGUCAUGCCAAUGGCACUGCCCGGUAGCUAAAUGCGGAAGAGAUAAGUGCUGAAAGCAUCUAAGCACGAAACUUGCCCCGAGAUGAGUUCU